CCACAUCGAUCGAUCCCAGGACAGCGACGCGUCGGAGGGGGAGUGACCGGAUUCGAUUGGAAGGGGAUCGGAUUAGGAUUCCUCCUCUUCUUCUCGAUCGUUGUGGGGGCGCACACGCACGCACACACGAACGAUGGGUGCGUGGCAGGCCUGCCGUUGGGUAUUCUUACCCGUUCCCCAUACCCACAUCUACGUCAAACGGCGGCGAACUGGUGAUGGCUUCGGCGGCGGCGGCUUCGGCGGUGGUGGAGAGUGAGGCAGCGGCACAAUGCCAUCCCCGUCGGUGAUCCUAGGUGUUGAGGAGCAACAGUGACAAGAUACAGACUAUUAAUUGGUGAGCGCUUCUAUUAUUGGUUCAAUGCAAGACUUUAGCUAUGACCAUGCUGUAAAUGAAAGUUCUAGUAAGUGGAAAGACAUAAUAUACUUGUACAUUCUGUCACUUCAUUACUCUCAUCAAUUCACGUAAGUUUAGGUGGCAUGAGAGAUUUUGCUGUCAUGAGCUCAAGUGACACAUGUGAGAUUCAGAGCUCAGGUGGUAAUCAAGAUUUAUAGAGUUUUCAGAAUGAAUCAUCUGAAGAGCAAACCAAUGAUGGAGUUGAUGGAAUAAUUGAGCUAGGUCGAUAUGCACAAAGUCAUCAUGCUACUAAAAAGUUAAGAUCGAGAGUUUGGAAAGACUUUAAAAUAGCACUAGUGGAGGGUUGUGCUAAGACAGUUUGUAUACAUUGUAAUUCACAGUUAGUCACUGGUAAUAAAAAUGGAACAAGUCAUUUGAGUUAUCAUAUACGUGUUUGUCCGGAGCUUCAAAAGUCAAAGAAAAAGAAGACCGGUACUCCAAAGGCAACACUUUCUGUUUUUGACCAGCAAAGAAGUCGCGAGGAUUUUGUUCGAAUGGUAGUGUGCCACAAUUACUCAUUCUGCAUGUGUGAGCACUAUUACACAAGACAAUUCGUUUAUAACCUACAACCUCAAUUUAAGUUAAUGCAUAGAACUGCUGUGAAAGAGGAUGUCAUUAGGUUAUAUAAGGAGGAAAGGGGUAAGCUAUAUGAAAUAUUGGAUAAAAAUCUGAGUCGAAUCAGCAUAACGUCUGAUAUGUGGACAUCAACAGAAAUGACUGCCUAUAUGAGCAUGACAGCUCAUUACAUUGAUGCUGAUUGGAAGCUGCAUAAAAAGAUAAUUGGGCUUGUGCAUGUAAAAACCCCCACACACAGGUGUUGCCAUUGCUAAAGCAAUUAUGACUAGGUUGUAUGAAUGGAAUUUGGAUAGGAAACUCUUUAGCUUUGUUUUGGACAAUUGCUCAGUAAAUGAUGUUGUGGUGCGGGAAGUACUUGCUGUCCUAGUACCUAAGAAAGCAUUGCACUUGAAUGGUGAUUUCUUUCACAUUCGAUGUGCUGCACACAUGUUAAACUUAAUAGUUCAGGAUGGUAUAAAAGUCAUUGCUCCAAUUAUGGUUAAUCUUCGAGAGACAAUAAAUUAUAUCAACAGAUCUACAUCAAGGUUAGAAAAGUUUGAAUUGAUUGCCCAACAAGUCAGUGCUCCAGCCCUAUCUUUAGAAACUGAUUGUCCAACUAGAUGGAACUCCACUUUUGACAUGCUUGAGACAGCCAUUAAGUUUCGUGAAGCUUUUGUUCGACUGAAAGAAUGUGAUAGUUCUUACAAGUUUUGCCCAUCAGAUGAGGAUUGGAUACAUGUUGCCAAAGUAACAGAUUGCUUGAGAGUCUUUUAUGAAGCAACCCUAAGAGCUUCUGGCUCAAAAUUUCCUACGACGAGUCUUUACUUCAAUGAUUUCUGUGGAAUUUAUAUUUUUCUGCAAGAGUGGAAGUUGAGUAAUGAUGCCUUUAUUGCUGCAAUGGCUGUGCCAAUGGCAGAGAAAUUUGAGAAGUAUUGGGAGACUUGUAACAAGUUGUUAUCCAUAGCAACUAUUAUCCUCGUUACAAGUUAAAGUCUAUUGAGUACUACUAUGGACUACUUUAUCCUUUUG